rnacentral:rRNA from 1 species
UACGUAGGGUCCGAGCGUUGUCCGGAAUUACUGGGCGUAAAGAGCUCGUAGGUGGUUUGUCGCGUUGUUCGUGAAAACUCACAGCUCAACUGUGGGCGUGCGGGCGAUACGGGCAGACUUGAGUACUGCAGGGGAGACUGGAAUUCCUGGUGUAGCGGUGGAAUGCGCAGAUAUCAGGAGGAACACCCAUGGCGAAGGCAGCAAACUGGGCAUUAUCUGACGCUGAGGCGCGAAAGCGUGGGUAGCAAACAGG